GGAGGGCCAGGCAGUCUGAACGCAGCUCAGUUGGCCUUGGUGGAGGUAGGACUGGCACUGGGGCACUGGGAGAGGGAGAUUCUUCCUUAUGCAAAUCAACACCUGCAACACUGACCUUCCAAAGGGACACCAGUUAGACGCUGACCCGGCAGCAGAGAGAACCCACUUCUGAAACGCGAGACUCUUGAAGGGGCUUUGUUGUUAAUUUGGCACCCAAGGCCCCAGCUCACAGGGUCUCGGGUGCACGGGACCCCUGGUCCUUCCCACUGCUCUGUGAUUCUGCCUUCCUUCUGCACAGGUCAGUUUUGGGAUCCAUUCUAAGAGCAGGCCGGCUGUCGGCACUCUGACCGUCUCUGAAACUUUGGGGCCUCGGCCGAAGCCUUGCUUCCCCGCAGGAGCCUUCGGGCUUCUUAGUACUGGAUCCAUUUGGUGGGGACUCUGACAGCCCGAACUCAGAAGCCCACGGAGAGGGGAAAUGGCGGCCUGCGGCGGGUGGGCAGCCUGGCCACGGAGCUCACGGGAGCCAGGGCCACCGUCCUCCCUGACAGCGCACGGCAGCCCUCGCUCGCCGAGUGGAAUUAAAACCGGCUCUCCGGUUGCCACGGAAACCAGCAGUCUCCCCCAGCGUCAGUUUGAAUUUGUGCAGACCAUUCCUAGCCAAGAUUCAAGCCAACAGAUUCGUGCUUACCCCGAGGUGAAGGCCUCCUUUGAGAACCAAAUAAUAAAAUUAACAAACCUGAAAUCU